GCGUCUCUCCCGUGGGUACAGUAGACAUCAUCACACUUCACAAUGGCUACAUGACCCAGUAUGAAUAUUACUACAAAACCACAACUGUGCUCAGUCCUAUCUACAAACAAUUCUCAUAAAAUGUUUUAACCAUUGUCACCUUAUAGUCACUCGGUACCUUCAUCCAAACAACCAUGGCCGCUUUGUCGAGUGUUCAUGCCCCUAUUCUUCUUCUUGGUUUCCUAGUCUAUGGCGUUCGCGAUGGCAAUGGUGACGACGAUGGGCAGAAAAUAUCCGGGCC
rnacentral:lncRNA from 1 species